rnacentral:misc_RNA from 1 species
AGGCAAGUGAUCAAAACUUAGUUUUAGUAUAGACUCAACGUUAUCCUCGUUAUCAGAUGCAUUCAAAACAUUAUUAUCUUUAAUUGACAACCAUGCUUUCUUAUCCCUUUUCAAACCCAUCGUCCCACCUAAAACUUUUGCAACUAGUGGCACUCCUCUACAUUUUUUGGCAAUCUCCUUUCCAAUUCCCUCCAAGUCUGAGGGAACUGAAGUUGCUCCACGUCCAAGUGCCCUUUCCUUCAUAAUAGACCAACAUCCAUCAUCAGACAACAAAUCCAGUUUAUGCCUAUAAUUAGUAGAAGUCUCCACUAUUGAUGCUACUUCCUCGCUACGAGUUGUGACAACAAU